UGGAUUUGAUGUUUUUAAUGCCUUAGAUCUCAUGGACAACAAAGAAUUUCUUGAAAAACUUAAGUUUGGAAUUGGGGAUGGAAAUUUGCAAUAUUAUUUGUAUAACUGGCGUUGUCAACCAAUGACUCCAAACAAGAUUGGUCUAGUCCUUCAGUGAAGCAGAGAAGGAAAAACUUUACACAGGAAUAUUGUUUAUUGGAACGUUUACUUUCCGUACCACCAGGAAACCUAAUCAGCUGUAUAAUUAUACUGUUUUCCCAAUCAUUACAAUUAAGCAUCGUGUGUUGUGCCUUUUUAAUGAAAAGAAAUAUUAGAUAAAUUUAAUAUUUCUGAUUUUUAUGAGCUUCAAUGAAGUAGUUUAAACGAAGAGUUAUGCUGAUUGGUAUAUGUCAUCAAUAUUGUAAUUUAAAACAAACCAUCAGAUACUAAUAGUAGUAGUAAUAAUUAAGAAAUUUAAUUGAAUAGAAAAUCUGCAGUACAGACAAGUCAAAUGUUUUUAAAACUUUAAGAAGAUGUACAAAUUAUUUGAUUUUGAUAAUAUUCAUGAUUUUUUUAAUGCCGAUUGAUCUGCCCUUACAAAAAUAUUGAGUUUAUGGUAAAUGUUUAUCACAUAAGAGUAAGAAUCACACUGAAGUUUUGAUUAAUGUGGUGAGUGAUAUUGGUAAUACUCUUAAAUAAAUUGUACUAGUUAAUCUAUAUUAAAUUAUAGCAUCUAGUUAGUGUUAGUGAGUCAACUGAUGCAAACUUCAGAAUGUUGUUAACUUUAAAAAUGUUUGCUUUUUCCUCCACGUAAAUAUCCAAAUUUCUUAUUUAGUUGAAUUUGAACUUUUCUCUCUAAAUAUACAAAUAAAAAUUCUUAAAUUUAACAUAUAUGUGUACAUAUAUCAGUAUAUGUUUUUGUGCGUGUAUGUGUAUAUACCUAUAAAAUCAUGAUUUAGAUUCAUUUAAAGUUUAUCAAACCACAUGGUAAAGUUAAAGGUAUUUCAAAUCUGACAAAAUUUCAGGAAUCAUCUGUAAACUUUUGUGAAUUUACUACUCUUGAUAGAGUACAUAAAUAAGUUAAAUAAUUAAACCAUACUCUAUUAUAAUUGAAUCAAUAUAUGCCAUGUGUGUGCAUAACGCAUCACGCUUACUUACGUAAGACUGUACUUGAGUUAGCUGAAAUGAAGAAUUCUGUGCCUUUUCUGGUAUAGGAAAGGUAGUGUCUAGAUCAGCCACCCCUUUUGUUCUUGACAUGAUAAAUAAAUUAGAAUUCCAUUUGUCCA